UAGUAGGUGUGUGUUUUAUUCCCGUCCUACCCCUAGGCUCUUCAUGACAUUUUUUUUUCUUAGAUUCCACAUAUAUGUGUUAGCAUACGGUAUUUGUUUUUCUCCUUCUGACUUACUUCACUCUGUAUGACAGUCUCUAGGUCCUUCCACCUCACUACAAAUAACUCAGUUUCAUUUCCUUUUAUGGCUCAGUAAUAUUCCAUUGUAUAUAUGUGCCACAUCUUCUUUAUCCAUUCAUCCGUUGAUGGACACUUAGGUUGGUUCCAUGUCCUGGCUAUUUUAAAUAGCCUGCACUUAUUUUUAACCUAUUAUAUAUUGGGGAGCUAUUCCCCUGAAUACAUAGAAAGGCUUGGAAUUCUUUUUACAACUGCAUAUGAUUUCACUGUAUAGAUAUACUGUCAUUUACUUGAUCAGUUCCUUAUUACGGACAUUUGGGUUAUUUCCGACCCUUCACUAUUACCAACAGGGCUGCAGUGACUAAUUGUAACAUAUGGAUGUCACUUUGUAUGUAUAUAAUGAUAUUUAUGGGAUAAACUCCCAGAAGUGGGACUGCUGGGUCAUAGCAUGAGCAUCUGUCAUUCUGAUGGGUAUCACCAAAGCUGUCCUCCAUGGGGCUGGGACAGUUCACAUCCCUUUAGCCUCCCAGGAGUCUUACUGCUCUGGGAGAAAAUUUGCAAGGGACGCCAGAAGCCUUGCAACAGGUAUGUCUCGAGACGAGGUGAUUCCACUUCCAGGAGUUAUCACAGGGAGGGAUUCAUCAGGUUUUCAAAGAUUAAGCUACAAAGAUGGACAUCUCUGUGUCAUUCAUAGUUAAAAAAAAACCUUGAAAAUCAGAAAAGUGGCCUACAGGACACUGGUUGAAUAAUUCAUGGUAUGCAUGAAGGUUGGAACGCUAAACGGGCAUGAAAAAGUACAAUUGAGAAGGUAAAUUUACAAUUGUUAAGGGGAGAAAAGUAGGUCACAAAACUCUGCUUUCAGAAUGCUCCCAUUUUAAAAACAAAGAGUAACAUGUACACUUUUAAAUGUUCUCUCCCUCUGCCUCAAUUUCCACACCUGUAAAACGAGGGCAGUAAUAAUCAGCUCACUGAGCUAUUGUGAAGAAUAAAUGAGUUAAAAUUUUUAAGGUGCUUAGAACGGUAUCUGGUACAGAGGAAGCUUCAAGUCAGGGUUAGUUAAAAUUAGUGUUAUCAUUAUUAUCAUUCUCACUAUUAAUUAUAUUCUAAUUGCAUAAGAGAAAGGUCUGGCAGACAAUACAACAAAAGUUUAACCAUCUCAGCAAGACUUGGAGUUACUGUUACUUUGAAAAGUUUUGCUUUUCUUUAUUUUCUUUUCUUCUGUCUCUGUCUCUCUCUUUUACAACGAACGUGUGUUAUUUCUGUAAUACAUAUUAUUUCGUGAAGUGCAAAAGAAGGGAGAAGAACGCAAUUCUGAGGUAGUCUUGGAAAUCUACUCAGCAGAGCCCCAGAAAAUGAUGUGGAAAGAAAAGGCAGGAGGCUUUCUUGAUCUGGCAGCUCAGCCUUGGGCAGGGCCAGUCCUACACACUAGGAAGAAGGCAACUCCCUGUGACAGGCAAUUGGAGGGAAGGGGAAGGCGCUCCCUGACCACAGGCACAAGGUUUUCAGGGACUUUAACAAUUAGAAUGAUAACAGAAAUGUGCAAAUACAGCCGGUAGCCCAAGAGGGUCGUAAGAUGGGGGCGUGACUCACUGCCUGCUAUGCCCGUAGUCCCCAUUCCGAGACAGGGCAGAAAUUCAGUCAAUGUUUCCUGAAGGAACAAGGCUCUGCUGUCUGAGCUUGGGAACGUUCUUUCACCUCCCUGAGUCUCAGUUUCCUCCACCACCAAAUGGGGAUAUUAGUGAUCUUGCAGAGACUGCUGUGAGGAUAAAAACAAAAAUCUGUACAUAGAGUAGUAGCACCUCACUCAAAUGAGGUACCAGGCAGGUACAUGGCAUUUGUUGAGUAAAUAAAUGAAAAGAAGGAAUGACACUGACAGGAGCUUAUUCACACUAAAGUGUGAAUGACUGACACCAUUUUUUCCUAAAAAGCAGCUUUGUAGGGCAUAAACGGAGAAGCUGGAAGAGAUCUUGUACAUAAGCCAGACUCUGUGCCAUGUGCUGCGCUAUGCACUAAGCGUGCAUUUAUCCUGUGUACUUUCCAUCUGACGUGUACAGAAAUUUAGUCACUUGAGAUCAAGUGACUUACCCAAGGUCACACAGCAAGCAGAUGGCACAGCCAGGAUUUAAACCAACGCAUGACUCAAAAGUCCUUGCCAAAAAGCCCUGGAUGUCAACAUGGACAAUGGCAUGAGGAGGGAAGGGGGCCUGGGGGGUCCAUCAGAGUCAAACUCCGCACUCUGCAUCAUGCCAAAUCACCCCAAGGGCAGACUGAACAUGUGCUCAGGGCGCUAGGAAAGCAGCCCCAGUUCCCUUCCAUCUUCCCCCACACUGGAAAAUAGUUCCACUUUGAUAUUUCGAAGGAAAGCACGGAGAUAAAUGCUCAUGAAGCAAAUCAAGACCUUAUCAGUUUUCUCUACAUUUAAGUUUAGCCUUGGUUUCUGUUUGCAUGUCCUAUGGGGAGGAAACACCAUAACACGUAUGUCUUAGGACAUUAGGACUUAAUUCCCCUGCGGUCUUGGGGCCCCUCCAGACCUCACCCAGCUCCUGCUGUGCUAUGCCAGGCCCGCAAGAGUUUGAGGGGGGAGGGAAAAUAGGGACCCCCCCUCCCCCUGCUUCCCUCGGGCUCCCAGGCUGCGCGCGGGUGCGCGGGUGCUCCCCAGGGCCGCGGCCUCAGCUCCCCUGACCCGCAGCUUCUCACCACCCAGCCUUUAGACAAGGCGUUCACUGCCCAGGCAUGUUCCAAGCCACCGGCUCGAGUCCCAGCCAGUCCAGGCCUGUUGCAAUGAGUCAGCCUUUCGCUGGGGAAAAUCGUGGUGACUGGCCCGCAAGUCACUUUUUCCGGCUUGGCCCUCGUCCUGAGCUAGGUUUAAGGAGGCCUUCCUUUUUCCCUUUGGGAUUCUGCUGCCUAUGAGGUGUUCCCCAGGGGUCCUGGGAAGCUCGGGGGCUGGAAUUCCUUUAUGGGGCGGUAGCUCGACUUGCUUCAGUUGAGCCAGAUGACGGUCUCUCGACGUAUCCACCUGGUCUCUCCACCCACACAAGGGAGAGUAGAGGCCACAAAGGUUAAAGCUGCAUCUCCUACGCAGGCUGCGGGCAUUUACUGAUACCCUUUACUGACAGUCAGGUUCUGGGCUUUGGGGCUGCAGUGGCGCACAGAACAGUCAUGCUCCUGCCUUCACGAAGAGGAGCAUCUGAGGGAGACACAGGUACUGACCAGAUCACAACACAAGCAGAUACCAGCCAUCCACAACAAAUAUGAAGGAAGAAUACACGAGGGCAGACAGCAGGGCUGGGUGAGGUCUGCGGUGUUCAGAGAAGGCUCGCCUGAGAUGGGAUGGAUAAGGAGGAUGUCUGGUUGGGUGGGAAGGGGGUGAAAAAUGGUGUUUGUUAUGGGUUAUACUGUGUCCCCCCCCAAAGAGAGGUUCGGGUUCUAACAUCCCAACACCUCAGAGUGUGAUCUAAUUUGGAAACAGGGGUCUUCACAGAGGUAAUCAAGUUAACAUGAGGUCAUGAGGGUGAGCCCUCAUCCAAUGUGACUGAUGUCCUUAUCAAAAGGGGACAUUUGGACAUGGGACAGAUAUGACACAGGGAGGAUGCCAUGUGAAGAUAAUGGCAGAGAUCAGAGGGAGGCAUCUACAGGCCAAGGAAUAAAAGGUGGUCAGCAAAUCACCCGAAGCUGGGAGAGAGGACUGGAACAGAAGGCACCAACCCUGCUGACACCUUGAUCUCAGACUUCCAGCAUCCAGAACUUGAGACCAUAAAUUUCUGUUGUUUAAGACACCCAGUUUGUGGUCCUUUGUUACGGCAGCCCUAGCAAAGUGUGUUCCAGGCAGAGGAAAUUCCAAGUGCAAAAGCUCUGAAGGGAGGCGGUGGUGAGGCAGAUUUGAGAAAGAAGUUACCCCUGGCUGGAAUGCAGAGUCAGAAAUUCCUUUAUCUCUAAUGAGAGGGAAGUGGAUCAAUGUGGGUGCCUCCAGCGACGAUAGGGAUAGCAAUAAAAAUAAUAACCACCUUGAAGAUGUAUAGCGUGUAUGAGAUAAGCCUGGAGAGGCAGGAAGUGACUGAGCUAUGCAGAGGCUUCCUUGUAAGAAUGAGGAUUGGAGCCUUUAACCCGAAGAGAGAGAGAAAGCAAUCAGAAAUCGCAGGGCAGGUGACCUGGCAUCUACUUUGAGCUGUGUUACCUUGGGCAAAUUGCUUUCUGUCUCUGUGCCUUAGUUGUGUGAUCUCUUAUCUGGGACGUUCCAUGACCAUGUGACUAGCAGUGUGCUUAAGGGUGCCAUCCUAUGUGUGAUGGGCAGGGUGAGGGGGAAGAGAGAAGACUAAAAAGAGUAUCCAAUAUCAUUUUUGUUCUUGUGGAGCUUAUAAUCUACUGGGGGAAACAACAUGCAUUCAGGCCAGGGCACAAUAAACGUGCUAAGUGUGGUAAGAGGACAGCCUCAGACAUUCUCAGGGGCUGAAGUGGAGGCUCCCCGACUGGGGUCCUGAUAGCUGGGUAGGCCCCUAGUGUCUGUGUCUGUGCUGUGCAACUCCAUCUCCCCUUGGUGCCCUCCACCCCCUAUAGCUGACUGAUCCUGGGAAGAAACACAUGACCCAAGGAGAGCCAAUCAGAAUCUUUCCAUGAGAUUUUUUUUUCAUUUUUGGUUUGGAUCUAGGGAAGAAAAUUCAGUUUCUCUUUAAGGAAACAGGAUGCUCUUGAUGGCCAUGUUCGCUGCCACAUAGAGGGAGCUGGUUUGAGGGAAUAGAGCUGACAGGCAGAGAGAGAGAAGAGAUAAGAUGGUAGAGACAGACAGCAAGAUAACACAUGAGUGAGCCCCUUAGCCGUCCUGAGGCCUUGGCUGCACUUCUGCUUUUCCUGUGCAUACACCAAUUACCCCCAGAGUCAUCACCCCACAUUUCUAUUUUUGCCUGAGCUGUUGCAGAGGAGUUUCUGAGGCUUACAAUCAUUAUAGUUCUGACUCUCACUGGGUCUGCUGUGUAAACUGUUGGUUAAUGAAGUGACAGAGACCCUGCACUUGGCCCUAGUGUGUGUUAUCCUGUCAGGGACCAAGAAGCUGGCCCUGCCCUCCUAGGAAACUCUCACUGGGGUUGUGAGAGGCUGUCCUCACUUUUAUCCUACGCAAGGCGAUGCCUCCAUGAGCUUUGCCUCAUUUGUUUUUGCUCUGCAAACCCUAAAAGGCAGAAGUUACCACCCACUUCCCAUCUUACCAUUGAGGAAACUGAGCCUCAGGGGAGAAGAAAUAACUUUGUAUGUAAGUGGGAGAGCGCUUUGUAAACCCUUUGGUCCUUAAGACAAUGCACACAAGACAAAAGUAACCCUGGGCAGUUCAAGCUCUGAUCAGGGAAGGAAUAAUUGUCCUUCAUUCAUGAAUCUAUCAGUAAACAUUUUCCUGCCGAUAAAGAAGGGAAAUUACCAAAGGUUGGUGCGGAGUCUAAAGUGAGAGUUCAGGAAGGCAGGCAUUAUCUUUUCUCUCCACGAGCCCAGUAACAGUUAUACACACAGCGUUGUGAGAUGUUUAAUAAAUGUUUGCUGAAGAAGGAUAAGAAUGGUAUCUUAUUUAUUGAGUACUUACUAUGUGCCAGGCACUGUUCUGAAUGCUUUGUAGGUAGUCAUUUAGCUAACCAUCACCCAACCUGAUGAGGUCGGUACUAUUAUGCCCACUCUAGAGAUGAGAAGACUGAGGCAGAGAGAAAAAGUGGGUAACUAGCUGAACUCACACAGGUAGUAACUGUCAGAGCGACCUCCAGCUACCUGGUUCCCAUGUGCACUCUUAACCAUUGGACUAUACUGCCUGUUUCUGAAUGAAUGAAUGAAAGCACACAAGCUAGUUACAGACACACACAUAUACAUGUGUUUAAGGAGAGCUUGUUUAAGUUUAAGUGGAGCAGAGCAGAUGGGGAGGAGAGCCAUGUAGUAGUGAGGCUGGGAGAAAUUUAAGCUCCAUAAAAUUCUCCAAAUAAGUGGGUUGUGAAUGAGCCUUAAAGAUGGGUAGGACUUUUGAAUGUCAAAAGAAAGAUAUGGGGGCUUCCCUGGUGGCGCAGUGGUUGCGCGUCCGCCUGCCGAUGCAGGGGAACCGGGUUCGCGCCCCGGUCCGGGAGGAUCCCACAUGCCGCGGAGCGGCUGGGCCCGUGAGCCAUGGCCGCUGGGCCUGCGCGUCCGGAGCCUGUGCUCCGCAACGGGAGAGGCCACAGCAGAGGGAGGCCCGCAUACCACAAAAAAAAAAAAAAAAAAAAAAAACCAGAAAGAUAUGGACACUUCGGUCUGGAAUCUCCUUAUUCUCAAACUCACGUAAUAAUUGUUUUCAGGACUUGAGAGCUUUCUCUGUGCCCAGCACCCUACCUACUUCAUCUUCUGCAUCUUGCUACCCCCUCGGUGUCAGAGGCCCCCCAUUCACUCUUCCGAGCUGCUCCCUCACCCUUGCAGACCAGAGGAAGGUCAGCCUCAUUGGUCACUCUUUUCAAAGCCACAGAAUCUUCCCUUGAUAAUGACCGAAGCUGCGAAACCAAAAAUUGACCUACACUCAUGGCGUCUACAGCCCAAAGAGUUAAGACCAGAAAGACCCAGAACUCUGGCCUGUGAGUAGGCCAAGACCCAGACUUGGACUAGAUCCAUCGAUGAGGGUUGAAGGGCUUCAGUGGGGAUGGCAGAGCCCGGGGUGGUCACUUUAUCUGCAGCUGUCUUUGCUGGAGGACUAGAUUUCACUCCCUAUCUCUGCUGGAGAUCUCUCGAGCACCCAUUGCACCCUGGUGCGGAACGGCCUGCUUGUGAGCUUUGAGGCCCAGCCAACCACGAGACAAGAAAAGACACAGCCCGACUUCAAAGGGCUGCAGAAGACCAGGGCAGUCGAGCAGAGCCUGGUGACCCCACGGUGAAUCUGGCUGCAUCAGGAUCAAGCCAGCGUAAGGCAGGAUGGGGCCCUGCCCUGCAGGCUUGAGGAGCACCUAAAAUGUCAAUGGAGAUCUGAUAGGAAUUUAUUUUCCAUGCAGCCUCAUCUUUCAGGAGAACAACCUCUGGGGUCUUUCGGAGGAGUCCAAGGGAUAAAAGCCCUUCCGGAGAAAAACAGCCCUUAAAAAAGGCACCCUCAAAACAGACUCAUGCGCUUAGCUGUGCACCUGAAACUAUCACAACACUGUUAAUUGGCUAUACUCCAAUAUAAAAUAAAAAGUUAAAAAAAAAACCAGACCCAUAGAUGCAGAGAGCAAACAGGUGGCUGCCAGAAGGGAGGGCUUCGGGGGUGGGGGAAGUAGGUGAAGGGGAUAAAGAGGUAAAAACCUCCAGUUAUAUAAUGAAUAACUCAUGGGGAUAUAAUGUACAGCAUAAGAAAUAUGGUCAAUAAUAUUGUAAUAACUUUGUACGAGGACAGAUGGUUACUAGACCACUCGUGGUGAUCAUUUCAUGAAGUAUGCAAAUAUCAAACCAUUAUGUAAAAUACCUGAAACUAACAAGCUAUUGUACGUCAACUACAUUUCAAUUUUUAAAAACUGUUUUAAAUCUUUUUAAAAAAUUUGCACCCUCACUCUUAGACACGCGAGAACUUUAUAACUUUGGAGCAUUUUCUUUGUUCCUUAAGCUAUGCUAAGAACUUUAUUUGCACAACCUCACUUAAUCCUCAGGACACCUGGAUGUAGAGACGAUGACACUCCUUAGUGUAAGCGAUGGGGAAACUGAGGUUCACAGGCAUCUUCCAGGUCAUAUAGCUAGCAAGUGGCAGAGCCAGGAGGCAAACUCAGCUCUGACUUCAAAUUCCUUGGUCUUAACCCCGAUGCUACACGUUCACCAAAACCUAGAUAUUUCACUCUCACCUGUUCACCCAGCAGAUAUUUCUUAAGCACCUACUAUGUGACAGGCACUGUUUUAGAUGCUGGGGACACAGCAGUGUGUAAGUGAAACAGACAAAAUCCCCUGCCCUCAUGAAGCAUACAAUACAUCAACGAAAUCAAAACAGCAUUAAAAGGCAGAGACUUGUCUCCAUUUUACUGAUAAGGCAACUGAGGCAGGUGUUCCUCAUGGUCUGUUUAUUCCCCAAAUCCAUUCCGUCGUGUUCUGUUGUUUGACAAAUAGGCCUUGAAAACUUACUAGGGGUCAGGUGCUGCUCUAGGCAUGGGGGCCCGAGGGGUAAACCAAACGGAUGUGGCCCCUGCCCUCGUGGAAUUGACAUUCUGGUCUGAUUUCUCUUUCUGUCUUUCUAAGCUGUAGCUGCUGCUCAGGGAACAUGCGCCGUGCUGACUUAUGCCCCUAGGAAGCUGAGGCAGAAGUUAUGAGAAAUAACCAAAUCAGCACGAGUGUUGGGGGUCACAGAUGCCCUUUGCCCUCUCCCCUCCCCAUGGUGACCCCUGACCCACAAUGUGUUAGCAGGAGCUCGAGGGUAGAAGUCAGUAGCUCUGAGUCUUAACUAGCUGUGUGACUGAGCUAGUCAUUUAAGCUCUCCCAGCUUCACCUUCCUCACUGUAAAAUGAAAAUAGAAGCACCUGACUUGUUGGCAGAUUUGCAAGAUGAUAAUGAAUUCAAAUGAAAUUAUGGCUGUAUGAGAACUUCUGGAUUUAUCUCCUAAGUCCUAUAUUCUAAUGUAAUGUCUUUCGUUCCUCACUUCCUAUAACCACAGUGCUUCAGAAAGGAGCUCCUAAACUCAUUCAUAUGAAGGUAUAAAUAACUGAUAAGCUUUUAACUCUUGCCCUUCCCAGGCCUAGAGGCUUUCUCAUAAGGAAAAACUUCUGAUUCUGGCAAAAAUGGAGUAACAGGAGCCAGAUUUACUCUCCUACCUGAAACAAAAAGUACCCUAACUGUGUCCUAGACAAAACUUGAUAAUAUUUAUAAGAGUGAAAAAAUAUCCAGUGCCCAAGAAAGGAAAAUUCUCAAUGUCUGCCAUCCAAUCCGACGAAGUCCCAGCUGGCAAUAUCCUGGACUAGAAUAUAAGCUCCCCGAGGGCAGGGAUUUUUGUCUGCUUUAUUCUCUGCUGUAUACCCGGUUCCUAGAAGAGUAACUGACGCAUAGUAGGUACUCAGUAACUACUUGUUGAGGAAUGAAUGAAUGACAGAGCCUGUCACACACCAGUGAGGAGAGUGGGAAGUCUGGGCAGAGCCCCAGAGAUCACCCAGGGCUUAAGGUCUGCCAGACUGAUCAGUUCCUCAAAUCAGCCCAAGCAUGGGAGACGACACCCUCCAAACAGUGACAGCCUCGAGGGGAGGGCGCCCCUAGGACAAGCCCUGUCAUCACGGAGGGAGGAAAAGGAAAGCUUGUACUCAGCGAUAACCAUCGUUGUGAACCACUGCUCCCCGCGGCGCCCCCUCCCGUCAGCCUGGCCUGUUUCCUGGGAGGUGAGACCCUGUUUUCUACAUCCUGAACAUGGCGAGGUUUCAUCACUGGCUGAAGGCAAGGCAACGAAGGUUGGAUGUCAAGGACCCGGUGGUAAAUCAUGUCGGAGUUGGGGUCGGGGGAGGCGGGCAGCUGUCGAUGUGACCCCCAUAGUUGGACGGAAUCUGCUCAACCAUUUGUUAAUCCUCUCAUUCCGCACAAAGUGAUAUGGGUCACUCUGGGUGGGAUCACUCCUCGUGGCUGCGUGGAGUCUCCGGAAACAAAAACAAAAAUGGUGGUGAUUAAAAGAGUUAUAAAAAGCCACCAUUUCCUGAGUGAUGCCUUCAAAAGGCAGUGUGCUGGAGGGGCUAGGAGCGUGGCCCUGAGCCAGUCUACUUGAGCUCCUCGUCUCACCUCUACUCUGCCUUACCAGCAGUGUGACUCUGGGCCAGUUACCUAUCCUCUCUGACCUCCAUUUCCUUGUCUCUAAAAUAGGCUGUUGCAAUGAGUUAACACAUCUAAAGCACUUAGAACUCUGUGGCUAUUUCCUUGCCUGGUGUGCUGUUAAACACUUUCCAGCCUUCGGCUGAAGGGGAAAUGGUACUGUGGUUAAGAGCUCUGAGUUGUAACUUGGGCACCCCCUUUUCACUGUGUGACCUUGGGCAAAUAACUUACCCUCUCUGAACCAAGUAAUGCAAAGUAAACUCCAUGGAGGUGGGGAAUUCUGUUUUGUUCACUCCUCUCUCUCCAGGGCCUUUAAGCCAUGCCUGGCUCCAUAAACAUCUCUUGAAUGUAUAAAUGAAUACAUAAUAAUCAGAACUAGCUACAUAAUUUGCAGGGCCCAGUGCAAAAUGAAAAUGCAGGGUUCCUUGUCAAAAAAUUGUUAAAAAUUUCAAGACAGCAGUGGCUGAGUCUAAAACCCAGUGUAGGGCCCUUGGAAGUGUGUGGUGGCCCUGCACGACUGCACGGGCCGUGUGCCCACAGAGCUGGCUCCCAUAACAAUCCCUACCCCACGUUGUCCACAUGACGAUAAAGUAAACACCGCACGCAGAGCAAUGAGCGCAAGCUUGGCCCAGAGCAGGCUCUCCGUGUUUGCUGAUAGCACUCGCGUCAGAUUUAACGUUCCCCCACUGCCCUAGCAGAGCAGACAGGUGUGAGCCCAUUUCACAGGUGAGGGAAGUGAGGCUGAGGGGGGCAACGAAAUGACUCCUUCACUGUCCCACUGGUUCUGAUGGUAGGAUUUGAACCCAGGUGGAGCCGAUGCCGACUCGAUGGUGAGGGAACAGUGAGUGGAGGAAGGGAGAAGGCCCAGAAGUCUGGGGGCAGCCGGCAAGGCGGAGUCCCGGGUUGGAACAGCGGCUCCUUCCUUAGGGCUGAUUGUCCGAUGCCCCCCGGAUUUGUUCCUGUUGGUCAGUGGGGAACCCACAGGCCCGACAGGCUCCGAAGCUGGGAAACGGGGAGCGGCUCUGCCUGUCCUAUGACACACCAUGAGCAGAGGUGGGGUCCCAGCCGGCCUCCCCUCUCCCCCUCCUCCAAGCCUAGCUCAGAGUCAAGGGAGGCCUGGGCUAAUGGGGCAGAGCCCAGGCUGGCCACGGAGGCUUGGAUUUAUGGGUUAAAACCCAGCCUCUGCCACUGACAGCCCCCGAUGCCUCCAUCCCUUCCCUGGGGUCUGGAAGGCCGCUGUGACCCAGGCCCACCUGCUUUCCCAUCUCCCCUCCUCCCACGCUCCUCCCUGUUCACAUGAGUCCCUCCUUGGGGCUCCUGUUAACCCACCAGGCCUUUCCCACCCCAGGGCCUUUGCUCUCACUGUUGGUCCUGCUGAGAUCAACCUUCCCUGGGCUCUUUCUCACCCAUCCAAAGCUAGCUCAGAUGUCACCUGUGAAGAAAACCUUCCCCCAGCGUCCCUUCUAAAACACCACUAUAGGGAAUUCCCGGUCAGUCCAGUGGUUAGAACUCGGCGCUUUCACUGUGGGAGCCCGAGUUCGAUCCCUGGUUGCAGAACUAAGAUCCCGUGAGCCGUGCAGCGCGGCCUCUGCAUAUACCCCCACCGACCCUCCAUCUCCUCGCGCUGCAUGCUCCUGAUACCAAUCUGCAGGUACCUUCCUUACCGAUGGGCUUAUUUGCUCAUGGCUGGAAUCCUCCAUUAGAACAUAUACGUGUAAACUUGAGGCAGGGCCUGUACUCUGGGGUCCCUCUGGCUCAUCCAGGACAGUGGCCACUAUAUGGUGGGGACUCAGUAAGUAUCUGAUGAGUCAGUGGAUGAAUGAGUAGGUGUACAACACUGUGCUCCUGAGUCUUAGUUUCCCCAUCUGUAAAAUGGGAUUAAUACCUGCUCCUCAAGGAGGAUGUGUGCAUUAAAAUAAAGUUGCCAUUGGUGGGGAGGGAUAGAUUGGGAGUGUGGGAUUGACAUGUACACUGCUCUAUUUAAAAUAGAGGGGCUGGACCCUGGGUCUUGAGAAGUUCCCCCAGGAGGCUCCAUGAAGACCCAACGCAGGGAGACAGUCCUGGGGGCUCCAAGCAGAGGCCACUUUGGGAAAGAAGACUGGCCGGAAAUUCUCUGAGGGGUUCCUCGUUUGGGGAUUUCGCUGUUCUCUCCUGACCAUCCCAUGCCAUCCACCCCCACGCAGUCCCGCCCUUCCCAACCACACACCAAGAAUAAACCUCAUACCCCGAGGGCCUCGCUGUCACAGUUUCCUGCCGCUAUGGUCACGGGCUGCCUGGGCGGGCUCCGGGGGAUUUUCCAGCUCAGACAUACGCUUAGUGGGACCUGAAGCGAUGUAACAUAAGAGGGGCUGUGAUGCAGACCCAGAAGCAGGAAAACCCCAGGCAGGCACCGACUGGAAACUGGAAUGGGGCCCUCAGAGGGCACCUGGGCUGGAGGCCCCGGGAAGAGGAGCCAGGCCUCCUCUCUGACCUUGCCCCGCACCCUAAGAGCAGCCGUCCACAGCCUGCUGACAGUGAAGUCUUUCCUGGCCAUCAGCCCAGAACAAGAAAUCAACUUUUUGUCUGAAAGGCCUAUGGCCAGUAGGUUCUCAUGAGUUAUCUAUUUUACAUAUAAUAGUGUAUAUAUGUCAAUCCCAAUCUCCCAAUUCAUCUCACCCACCCCCAUGACUGAUCCACUUUGCUGUACAGCAGAAACUAACACAACACCGGAAAGCAGCUAUACUCCAAAAAAAAAAAUCAAAAACUUAAAAAUUUUUAAAAAGAGUCUAAAGACAGGCUGGAUCCAAAUGGAUUCCAGUUUAGAGACCUGCCCAGACCUUGAGGAAGUUCUCUUUUCUCUGCCUGCUCUUUCCCUUCACAUGGUCACCCAGGACUCUGUUGUCCUGAGCUAACCCCGGCCACCUCACUGAUACCCAUCACGGUUAGAUACCAUCCCCGGAGAGCGACCCCUCCCUUGGUCUUUCUCUUCUAAUCUCUACUCCUGAUAUCUAUCUUAUUCUUCCAAACCUGUCAAGGGACCUGGUUCCUAGUCCUGCUUUGGCUCUGACUUAACUCAGUGACAUUGAACAGUUUCCAGCCCUUCUCGGAGCCUUGGUGGCCCAUCUGUAAAAUGAGGCCCCAGAUGAUCCCUUUCAACGGUGACAUCCUAAGAUUCCGGGUUUGGAGACUCAACCUCAAGAAUCCUUACCAGAAGGUGCGCGUGAACAGGAAGCCACUGUGACUUUAGAAGAAGAGAACGACACAACAGAAAGUCUAAAGGAAAAAAAAAAAAAAAAUGGCCAAAGAAGAAUCCACUUAGCAAACAUGUGGAGCAUCUCCUACCAGCACUGGAGCUGCAAACAUGAAUGUGGAGCUCGAGAACUCAGAAGUCAAGGUGUUUAUAGUGGACUAAACCGACUUGUCAACAAAUGUUUCACAGUCUUCUGAUUUCUCUGUUCCCCAAUAUCCAUGCCCGUUGUGUACAGUUGUACAGGUUGUUCACUGCACAAGGGUACUGGCUCAGAGUUAGGAGGCACUGCAAAGCAGGCCAGGCUCCAUUCUGUAAGCAUGGGUCUACAGAACUAUGUCUUCCUUGGGGGUGGGGUGCUUUCUCCUAAUUCUCACAGACGUGUCACAUGGGCUGGCCCAGCCCUGCAGCAUUCGCAUUUGCCCUGCUCUGAUCCACUCAGCCCCAAAAGUGAUCAUCUUAGGUUCAAAAGGAUAACAUCACCUCCCCCGCCCAAACGCACACUCUCAUGAGUACUCCAUCAUCCUUAACUUGGCCUUCAAGCUCCUUCAUAAUCUGCCACCAUCUCCUUCCCCCGUGUACUCCACAGAGUACACAGACCACACACUGUUCCUCCACUUCCUUCAACAAGCCAUGCCCCCCUGCCCUUUGUGCACACUGUUCCCUCUGUCUGGAACAGCCCCUUUUCCCUGUUUGGACAUCGAAUACCUCCCAUCUCCAGAUCUCAGCUUAGACAUCAUUCUCUCCCAAAAGCCUUCUCUGAAUCCUCUGCGUGCCCACACCCUAACAGACCAGGUUCUUCUUUAUAUGGCCUCACAGCUCCUACGCUUCUCCAAAACGCUUGUCAGAAUUGUAAUUAAAUGAUUAGUAGUAUUCAUAGUGGAUUAUUGCCUUUCUCCCCCUAUGAAAUUAGAAGCUCCUGGAGCACGGGGACCAUGUUUCUUACGUGGUGUACAUGCUAUCUAUCUAUCUAUCUACUGGCUCCAUGCUGUAACCCCAGUACAUAUAGUUGGUGUUUAAUAAAUAAUUAUUGAAUAAAUGAAUGUUGUUCAAUAUAAUGAAGGCCAGUGGAGAGCUGAUUCCACUUGCCUGAGGAAGGAGCAGGUGCAGACAGGAGAGGCUGUCAAUAGGGGGGUCUCCUUGUUUCUGGGGGGCCUGGAAGGACAAGUGGAGCUCCCAGGGCACAGUGGCAACAGGCAGGAGGACUGAGCACGGGGCCCCCGGGAGCCUGCGGAGCGGGGUCACUUCUGGACCCGUGGCCAACACACAGACGUCAGAGGUCCCAUCUUUUCCAAUUUUCUGGGUGUCACAGAACACAGGCAGCCACUGUGCCUUUGCUGGUAACAUUUAUAAGAGAUUCCUCAAAUCUUCUGACUGGCUGAACAUGAACCACAUAUGGUCCCAAAUUCCAUCAUAAAACUGCAGUAUGGCUGCAAGAACCCUGACAUGCUGUCUUCACGUGGCUGCCAAUUUGGGGGCAGACUGUUCCCUUGUGGUCCAGGGAGAGCAGACCCAGGAGGCCGUAAUGAAUGCCUUCUCAAGGCAACCUUAAAAUGCUUUCAGCUGUGGGGCGGGCGACAUUGCCCCCCCCACCCCGCCCGCAUGGCACACAGCUUGUCCCAGUAGUGAAUUUAUCCCCAAUUCACUACUUUGCACAUGUUAAAUUUAAAUUACAUUUUUACAAGAUCAAGGACAUUUUCAAACCUAUUCAGAAUGGGAGAGAACAGUCAAGAGAACCUCAACCCAAUACCCCAGCUUCAAGAACGAUCAGUUCAUGGACAGUUUUGCUUGAUUUAUAUCCCUCCUCAAACUGGAUUAGUUUAAAUCAAGUUCCAGACGACACAGCAUGUUAUCUGUCAACGCUUCCAUUGGUUACUGCCUUUCAAAGCACAGGUAAUUAG